AGAGUUUGAUCCUGGCUCAGAGCGAACGCUGGCGGCAGGCUUAACACAUGCAAGUCGAGCGGGCAUAGCAAUAUGUCAGCGGCAGACGGGUGAGUAACGCGUGGGAACGUACCUUUUGGUUCGGAACAACACAGGGAAACUUGUGCUAAUACCGGAUAAGCCCUUACGGGGAAAGAUUUAUCGCCGAAAGAUCGGCCCGCGUCUGAUUAGCUAGUUGGUGAGGUAAUGGCUCACCAAGGCGACGAUCAGUAGCUGGUCUGAGAGGAUGAUCAGCCACAUUGGGACUGAGACACGGCCCAAACUCCUACGGGAGGCAGCAGUGGGGAAUAUUGGACAAUGGGCGCAAGCCUGAUCCAGCCAUGCCGCGUGAGUGAUGAAGGCCCUAGGGUUGUAAAGCUCUUUUGUGCGGGAAGAUAAUGACGGUACCGCAAGAAUAAGCCCCGGCUAACUUCGUG
rnacentral:rRNA from 1 species